rnacentral:lncRNA from 1 species
UAUAAUAAAAUUGAAUUUAAAAAUUGAAUUCAAAUCUGGAUUUUUUAAAAAUUGUUUCUUUUUUGUUUUUAAAAAAAUUGAAUUCAUAUUCAUCACAGCGAAUGCCACAGCCGACAACUUUUUCUGCUAUGCACUUAUAUCAUAUUAGAACAUUUGACUUCACAUUUAAAAACACUACAUAAACUUGUGAUUACAAAAAGAAUCAAAAAUAAAAAGGUGUUAUUGUAUCAGUUUUAGUAUAUACUCCGUAUUAGAAAUCUUGGUACGUAUUUGGAUUCAUAAGUCUUAAUAUAGAAACAUUGAUCUUGAUAUAUUUAGAAUUUUUCAAUUAGAAUUGACAUUGAUUAUUUAAUUUUAUUUAACAUUUAAUAAUCAUUUAUUAAACUAUAUAUAUAAUGUGAAAUUGAUUUUGAUAUAUAUAAGCAUUUAAUAGAAGGUAAAAUAUAUAGAAACAGUUAUAUAUAAACAUUUAAUAGAAGGUAAAAUAUAUAGAAACAGUUAUGAAUCAUUUUGAAAUCGAUUCAAAACAAAUAGAAGGUGAAAUUGAAAUUGAUGUUGAGUUUGAAUUGGAAAGAAGAUGAUUUAGGGUUCAUAUUUCAUAUUUGGGGAAGAACACGUAAUGUGAAAAUGAAAAUGUUAUGAUAAUAGUAACUGACUAAAAAAUAUUAAAAGAUUAUAAUUAAAAUAUUUAUCAUUUUAAUAUAAUGAUUUAUUAAGUUUAUUGAAUUUGAGAAAUAAUAGUAUUUAUAUUUUAGAUAAAAUUGUGGAAAGAGUUUAUAAGAGUUUAAACUGGUUUUUAAAUUCAAUUAGAUUAAUUGAAUUGGUUAAAAUAAACAAUUCAAUUUACUAACCAUUUAAAUGGUUUAAGUUUUUUAUGGUUCAAUUCAGUUCAGAUUAAGU